UUGGCCAUUAUCCUGAGGGUGCUCAACCGAAAUAAACCAGUUUUAUAUGCUGAGGUGCCUGCAAAAUUCUACAACAGAUGAGCUCGCAAGUUACGUGCCAUUAUAGGAUACAAUGAUCCCUGGAAGGCCAAAAUGGCAUAUGAUAUUUCUCCAAUAAAAACAUCUUACCCUCUCCGAUGUGAUUUGGGAUACGGCCUCAGCUUCCGCCCACUUGGUGAAAUAAUCCACUGCAAUUAUAAGAAGUUUCAGUUGCCCGGUAACUAGAGAAAAAGGGAUGAGAGUAUCCGAUCCCCACUAAUAAAAAGGCCAAGGAGAAAUUACUAACUGUAACAACUCCACCUGAUAGUGUAUGAAGGGCGUAUAGAUCUGGCAUUUCUCAUAAUGAUUUACGAACUAUGCACAGUCUUGUAGCAUACUCAACCAGUAGUAUUCGACCCUGAGUAUUUUUCCAGAUAAAGCUCUUCCCCCAAUAUGACUUUCAUACACUCCUUCCUGCACUUAUUUCAUUAUAGGUCCUACUUCUUC
rnacentral:lncRNA from 1 species